UUAAAGGGCAAAGUGAUAGGGGCUAAUCACGUGGAAUCGUAUAGUUUAUCAAAAGGUAUAUAAAAACAGACAAAAUCAAAUGCAUCGCCAGGUGAUCCAAGACCCCAGUUGAACCACAUACUAUAACCCAAUCCAGCCAACAAGAUGAGCAUUCGAUUUUUGCUGAUUGCCGCACCUAUUUUGGCCAUUUGCGCUGCCCAUCCGCACCGAUUGAAAGACGUUCAUCAACGCAGCAGCAGAGAUCUAGAAACCAUGAUUUUAAACAACACCGUCGAAUUGGACAAGCAAGGUGGGACUUUCCGACUCGAUUGGGACUUUGGUCUACGAUCAAGACGCCACCAAUCCGCAGGUGGUGUUGGAAAUGCGCGUCGCAACAAGAGGUUGGUUCAGCCUGCGUUUCACAUCGGCCGAUCUUUCGCUGGGCGAUUACUUCUACGGCGCCUACGAUGCCGAUCGGCCAUCCAAUAGCUUUUUCCUGGACAAACAUUGCGAAUUGAACAACGGCAGAGGCUGCGAAACUGCAGACGGACCGAAAGACGAUCUACGUAACGAUUUCCAGUUGAUAUCGAUCGUCUUCGGCCAAGAUUACACUUUAAUGCGCAUUGCUCGUCUAGCCGACACGGGUCAUUUGCAAGACGUCGCCAUUACGCCCGGCCCGAUGAUGAUUGGCUGGUUCUGGUCGGCUGGCAUUUGGGAAAGCGGCCAGCUCACUCCCAUCGACAAAAUGGGAUUCGAAGAUGUCGUCCUCAUUCCGGAAUGAAAACCAAAUCAGUCACCAAAAUUAAGUCAUUAUCCUCUUGUGAUAAUAACCUAUAAGGCAUUGAAGUAGAAAGACCGCAAUACGUCAAAUACAAUUUCAAAUAAAACGCA